AAAACAUUCCCUCUAAUUUCAAGGGUGAAACCUGAUGCCUGCAAUUCCAGCCUCGGUCUAUGAGGGCAGUAAUGAGCCUUGCGGCAUGCGGUGUGACGCGAAAAACAGGGAAGAAGAGCAGUCUGGCGAUGUAAUUGAGGAUGGCUUGUCACAGAUGGUGUAAUGAAGUUUUUUUUGUAGUUCAUGCUAACGCUAGUAGCAUCUAGCUUGCCGUGUACAACAGGUAUCCAUUUAGGUGUUGUUGGGUUUCCUGUCCAGCAGGGCGCGGCAGGGGCGUCUAAGCGGUGUGUCGUAAGCGCCGCACACCCGGGUGUCGGCAAACAGGACACAGCUGAAGAAACCUGCCAAUUCCGCGUCUCGCAGAUCAGCCACAGAGCACCGAGGCUCUCCAUUGCAGCCUACAACACAUGUACGCACACAUACACACUGUGUGAGCACUUGCAUGAGACCACCACUUGCCAGGGGUCCACGAGUGUGAGGACGCACGUGUGAGGCACCAAAGCAAAGCCUGCUGGGAAGUGUAUUGUUUUUUGUUGAUCCAGAAGGAUAAGGCAGGAGGUUUCUUCAGAGGAUCUACCAGGAUGUCAUCUUCUGACAGAGACACAAACUUCCCUUGGACUGAACCUUUACACAAACACACACAUGCUUAUCACCACUUGGCAAUGUGGACUGUAGGUGGCGUGGACAGUCAAGGUACCAACCAUCCAGAAGUGGAAUCAAGUCUGCAGCAGGACCACAGGAAGCGUCGGACGACUCGUCUCCUUGAGGAAACAAAAGUUGUGACCUUGUCAGCCUCCAUGGCAGAGAUGUUGGAUCAAAGAUAAAAACAGUACCUGACUUCAUGUAUACGGCCUGGAAGAUGACAAUGGACGCUUGGUAGUCCUUCUUGUCCUUACUGUCCAUCGGCAGAGCAGACUCAGCUGUUACAAAUGUUAAUGAGUUAUAUUCAAUGGUAAUAAAUUGUACUUAUUAUUGAUUAAUUUUACUUGUUAAUUAAUUGUAUGUAUUAUUCAUUGUACUUAAUGUUGAUUGUUAUUCCUUAUUAAUUGUACUCAUUAUUGUACUGAUUAUUAAUCCUUGUACUAACUUUUGGUUUAUUGGACCUAUGGAAUCAUUGUACUUAUUAUGAUUGAAUACUGAGUCACUCUCUCAUCUCACUUAUGGUUAAGUUUUGUCCCCCAAAGUCAAACAGGAAGCUCCGCUGCUGCUCGUUGUAAACAAGUCCCGCCCCACAAAUGCGAUUGGCAGCUCCUUGCCCGGUCACAUCCCAGUCGCGCCGCCCACACAUCAUGAUGGAGGGAGAUCUCAGCCAACUGCAAAGCAUAGAACCUGAGAGAGAGAGGGUGGUGCUGAAGAGCCGAGCUACAAGAUUCCAUCCCCUGAGUUUUCUCCAUUCACGUCUCAACGUACCACCGCUCAAGCUGUUUUGGUUGAGGAUAAAGCCACUGCAGCAAGCCUCAUUGCGGCAGCCAACCUCGCAAAAGCGACGAGCCUCUUCGAGCGAUGCAUUCAUGAACACCUGAGUCCUGAACACACCCGAGACCACCUUGGCCAUUGCUAUCCUGGUGAAGCUUGUAGUAGACUCCACACCUGAAAAAACACCUGACUGUUACAACAACCUCACAAGCCACCUGCUGGUUGCUGUCGCAACGGUACCAUUCUUCCUGAUGACGAGCACAUUGGAGGCCACACCCCUCACCCUCGGGUAGCACCUCAACCAAUCAAAGAGCUCGGCCUUAGGAUUACCCAGAAAUCCACUGACCUGGAAUCACACACACCCAAACAAGGGUCUCCUAAGUAACCACACCACAGACAGCUAUGUGUUUGUGUGUACCUUAGUGGAGGUGUUGCAGUGUGUGUUCAGGGGGUGUGUACUGUAUAGUUGACACUGGCUGCUGGACAACACCACAUGAUGGCAGGAUUUGUCCACUGCACACGCUGAGGGAACAAACAUACCAACAUACAUUGACAUUGACGCAGUGUUAAUGCGGUGUGCAUGCGUGUGUGUGUGUCUCACCUUGAGCGCAUGUUCUAAGGUCAGCGGUCACUCUUUGCAGGAUUUCAGCAUCUUCUGCUCCAAAGACCACUUCUGAUUUGGGAACGACCUGGAACCCGCUGAGCACUGUAUACACACACAUACACACACACAUUACACUGUGUCUUUCAAAGGCUUCUUCGUUCUUUUUGGCUGUUCGAGUUCACCUGAGCAGUCCUCAUCCGUGAAUGGCUUGUCACUCUGUGUCCAGUCAAGCUCGACCCCCUCACUGUUAAAGCAGGUCCACCUGCCAGACUGGAGGUCAGGCUGCGCUGGCAGGAAGUUGCCUCGGUCAGAGCAACGAAGGCCCCGCCUCUCACAGUCUGUCGCACCUGUGCGCAGUCGCCCACCACACAGAGGUGAACAAGCAUGUGGUGGUGAUGUUUGUCCAGCAGGUGGUGUACUAAUGCGAAGAACUCACAUUGAUUGACAGAUAGUGACCCAGCAGCUGAGGAGCCUUUGGGACACUUGUUGCAGAAGUCCUGCCCCUCUUUGUCUUGAUAGGUUCCUUCAGGACACAGAAGACAUGCACCCUCUGUGGAGUAACUCCCGGCAGGACAAACAACUGCAUAGACACACAUCACGUCAGUGCCAAAGAUUGGUUGGUAUGUCGUUGGUAUGGAUGAUAGCUAACCAGACUCACCGCAGCCGUCGCCACUGUCGCUCAGGCGGUAACCACGGGAACAUCCCAAGGUGGGCAUGGUCACAGAAAGUUGUUUAGGCUGUGACGUGAAGCCAACAUGUGCCACCAUUCCCUUAAAGUCCUCCAGGAGACGAUUUGCUGAGGACAACAGUCCAAUAUUCAAUGGCCCAAUUUGUUCCACAGGGCCACGCUUUGGACGUGUGCUCACCCAUGUCGUGGAGCUCAGGGAGUUCCGAGGCCGGGAGAUCAGACAGGACGGCAGUCCAGGUAAUGGUCACCAUCAAUGCAUCUUUACCAUCACAAUGCACACGAACUGACGACUCGUCACACAGCGACACUUGCUGUCCCGAAGCUGGCAGCUACACACACACAGACAGUUGAGCGAGCGAGCAAGCGUUUUCCGUGUGUGCAUAUGUGUGUAUCACCUGAGCAGAGCAGAGCCCUCUGCUGGUCAUGUUGAAGAGCAGAGAGCGCAGUGUCUUCGUCUCCAAGCAGGAUCCUCUCAUCGUCCACUGCUGUGACAUGGACAACCUCUGUGUAGGCUGGCUGACUGGACACAUACACACACACACUGAGGACUACACAUCUGCGUAAUGACUGGAAAUAUUGAACAUGGUGCAGGGUCUAGAGGUUGUACUCUGGCAGGCUCCAGGCAGAGGUUUGUUGUCUCCUUCCCACUGACGGCCAGCCAUCUCGCAUGUGAAACUUCGGACAGGAAGUGUAUUGUGGUAACCACGGUGACAGAUGAGGUUGCAGCUCUGUCGGCCAUCUUGUGCAGGGUCGCACACUAGGGUGCCAUGCGUGAUGGGGGAGUUGGCACAGGCGGAACCUGGACACCAGCAGAGGUCACCGACAAGUUAAGCUCACUGGAUUCUGCUGAUUGCUACAACUUGGCAUCACAGCACAUCUCUCAAAUUAUUAAACAGUCCAACAUCAGCUCAUUUGGGAUAUUGUUGCAGUUUUAAUUCGCACAUUAC